GGGGCGCCUGUGGGAGCCGUGGAGGGAACUUUCCCAGUCCCCGAGGCGGAUCCGGUGUUGCAUCCUUGGAGCGAGCUGAGAGCUCGAGAACCUGCUAAGGCCAUCAAACCUAUUGAUCGGAAGUCAGUCCAUCAGAUUUGCUCUGGGCCGGUGGUACCGAGUCUAAGCACUGCGGUGAAGGAGUUAGUAGAAAACAGUCUGGAUGCUGGUGCCACUAAUAUUGUGAUGUCACCAUUUCUACCUGCCAUGUAUCGGCGAAGGUUGGGACUCGACUGGUGUUUGAUCACUAUGGGAAAAUCAUCCAGAAAACCCCCUACCCCCACCCCAGAGGGAUGACAGUCAGUGUGAAGCAGUUAUUUUCUACGCUACCUGUGCACCAUAAAGAAUUUCAAAGGAAUAUUAAGAAGUGAGUGAGCGCUCAUGGGAUCUGGUUGUUUAGAAGCAUGCACCACCUCCCGCUUCACUCUCUCUGUCUCUCCUGCUCCACCAUGGCCAGAAACGUGCCUGCUUCCCCUUCGCCUUCUGCCGUGAUUGUCAGUUUCCUGAGGCCUCCCCAGCCAUGCUUCCUGUACAGCCUGCAGAACUGACUCCUAGAAGUACCCCACCCCACCCCUGCUCCUUGGAGGACAACGUGAUCACUGUAUUCAGCUCUGUCAAGAAUGGUCCAGGUUCUUCUAGAUGAUCUGCACAAAUGGCUCCUCUCCUCCUUCCUGAUGUCUGCCAUUAGCACUGGAAUAAAGUUCCUGCUGAAAAUCC
rnacentral:lncRNA from 1 species